GACGAACGCUGGCGGCGUGCUUAACACAUGCAAGUCGAACGGAAAGGCCCUGCUUUUGUGGGGUGCUCGAGUGGCGAACGUGUGAGUAACACGUGAAUAACCUGCCCUUUACUUUGGGAUAACUUCAGGAAACUGGGGCUAAUACCGGAUAGGAGCUCCUGCUGCAUGGUGGGGGUUGGAAAGUUUCGGCGGAUGGGGAUGGACUCGCGGCUUAUCAGCUUGUUGGUGGGGUAGUGGCUUACCAAGGCCUUGACGGGUAGCCGGCCUGAGAGGGUGACCGGCCACAUUGGGACUGCGAUACGGCCCAGACGCCUACGGGAGGCAGCAGUGGGGAAUAUUGCCCAGUGGGCGGAAGCCUGAUGCAGCAACGCCGCGUGCGGGAUGACGGCCUUCGGGUGGUAAACCGCAUUCGCCUGUGACGAAGCGUGAGUGACGGUAAUGGGUAAAGAAGCACCGGCUAACUACGUG
rnacentral:rRNA from 1 species